rnacentral:rRNA from 1 species
CCAAUAGCGUAUAUUAAAGUUGUUGCAGUUAAAAAGCUCGUAGUUGAAUUUCGGGGUCAGCAGGUUGGUCGUGCCAAUGGUAUGCACUGGCCUUGCUGAUUCCUCCCUCUUGAUGAGCCGUAAUGCCAUUAAUUUGGUGUUGCGGGGAAUCAGGACUGUUACUUUGAAAAAAUUAGAGUGUUUAAAGCAGGCAAGCGCUUGAAUACAUUAGCAUGGAAUAAUGAAAUAGGACGUUUGAUCCUAUUUUGUUGGUUUCUAGGAUUGACGUAAUAAUUAAUAGGGAUAGUUGGGGGCAUUAGUAUUCAAUUGUCAGAGGUGAAAUUCUUGGAUUUAUUGAAGACUAACUACUGCGAAAGCAUUUGCCAAGGAUGUUGUCAUUAAUCAAGAACGAAAGUUAGGGGAUCGAAGACGAUCAGAUACCGUCGUAGUCUUAACCAUAAACUAUGCCGACUAGGGAUCGGAUGAUGUUAAUUUUUUAAUGACUCAUUCGGCGCCUUACG